rnacentral:rRNA from 1 species
CUAGAGCUAAUACAUGCAAAAGAGAAUUCUUUGAAAAAGGAAUGCAUAUAUUAGAUACAAAUCCAAAAUACAAAGGUGAAUCAUAAUAUUUAUAGCAAAUUAUACAGAGGAAGUAAUUCUUCUUGAUAAUAAACCGAUCAAAUUUCUGCCCUAUCAUACUUUGGACGGUAAUGUAGUGGAUUACGGUGGUGAUGACGGGUAACGGAGAAUUAGGGUUUGAUUCCGGAGAGGGAGCAUGAGAAAUGGCUACCACUUCCAAGGAAGGCAGCAGGCGCGUAAAUUACCCAAUCCUAAAACAGGGAGGUAGUGACGAUAAAUAACAAUGAUUCAAUGAUAACAAAGUUGAAUUAAUUGGAAUGAGAACAAUAUAAAUCCCUUAUCGAGUAACAAUUUCAGGGCAAGUUCUGGUGCCAGCAGCCGCG